CAAAAUUUAUUUUUAUUUAGUCAAAUGUAUUCUUCUUCUUUUAAAAUUUAUUUUUUAAUUGACAGAUAAUAAUUAUACAUAUUCAUGAGGUACACAGUGAUGUUUUAAUACAUAUAAUGUAUGAUAAUCAGAUCAGGGUAAUUAGUAUCUCCAUCAUCACACACAUUUAUCAUUUCUUUGUAUUGGGAACAUUUAAUAAACUCCUUCUAGCUAUCUGAAACUAUGCAAUAUGUUUUGUUAACUAUAGUCAUCCUACAGUGAUACAGAACACUAGAAUUUAUUCUUUCUAUCUAGCUGUAAUUUUGUGUCCUUUUAUAAAUAUCUCCUUAUAUCUCCCUUUCCCUUACCCUUCCCAGCCUCUAGUAUCCUGUUACUUUUUUACUUCUAUAAGAUCAACUUUUUUUUUUUUUUAGCUUCCACAGAGGAGUGAGAAUAUAGAGUGAUUAACUUUCUGUUCCUGGUUUAUUUCACAUAACAUAAUGUCCUUCAGUUCCAUCCAUAUUGCUGUGAAUAACAGGAUUUCAUUCUUUGUUGUGGCUGAAUAAUAUUCCAUAGUACACUAUACCACAUUUUCUGUCGUUGAACACCUAGGUUGAUUCCAUAUAUUUGCUAUUAUGAACAAUGCUGCAAUAAACAUGGGGGUGCAGAUGUCUCUCCAAUGUAAUAAUUUCCUUUCCUUUGGAUAAAUAUCCAGUAGUGGAAUUGCCGAAUCAUAUGGUAGUUCUAUUUUAGUUUUUUGAGGGACCUCUAUACUGUUCUCCACAGUGGUUGCACUAGUUUGCAUUCCUACCAACAGUGUAUAAGAGUUCCCUUUUCUCUGCUUUCUCACCAGCAUUUUUAUUUUUUACCUUUUUGAUACGAGCCAUCCUAACUGGGGUGAGAUGAUAACUCCCUGUGGUUUUGAUUUGCAUUUCCUUGAAGAUUAUUGAUGGCCAACAUUUUGUUUUAUUUAUCUGUUGGACAUAUUUAAAUCUCUUUUUGAGAAAUGUCUGUUCAGAUUAUUUGACCAUUUUAAAAUCAGAUUGUUUUCUUGAUAUUGAGAUGUUUCAGUUUCCUGUAUAUUCUGGAUAUUAAUCUCCUGUCAGAUGACUAGUUUGCAAAUAUUUUUCCCAUUCUGUAGGUUGUCUUUUCACUCCACUGAUUGCUUUCUUUGCUGUAUAACAGCAUUUUAGUUAGAUAUAAUCCCAUUUGUUUAUUUUUGCUUUUGAUGCCUGUGCUUUUGAGGUGUUACUCAUUUUUCCCCGACUUAUAUCCUAGGUUUUACUCUCCUAGACCAAUAUCCUGAAGUGUUUUCCCUCAAGUUUUCUUUGCCUAGCUUUGUCAUUUUGGGUCUUACAUUUAGGUUCUUAAUCCAUUUUGAGUUGAUUUUUACGUAGGGUGAGAGGUGCGGGUCUAGUUUCAGCCUUUUGCAUACGGAUAUCUAGUUUACACAGCACCAUUUUUUAAAGAGACUAUCCUUUUCCUAAAGAGUGUUGUUGGCACAUUUGUCAAAAAUCAGUUGGUUACAGAUAUUUGGAUUAAUUUCUGUGUUCGCUAUUCUGUUCCAUUGCUCUAUAUGUCUAUUUGUAUGCCAGUAUAAUGCUGUUUUGGUUACUACAGCUUUGCAGGAUAUUUUGGCAUCUGGUAGUGUGAUACCUCCAGCUUUGUUCUCUUUGCUCAGGAUUGUUUUGGCUAUUUGAGGUAUUUUGUGAUUCUAUACAAACUUUAGGAUUAAUUAAAUCCAGAUUGGGAGCCAGAGAAGCCUUUCCUUUGCCUAGGUUAAAGAGGAAUUCACCCAUUUUUCUUCUAGUACUGGUAUGGUUUCAUUUUUGUUUAACAUUUUCUUCAAAUUUUAUUUUAUUUUUUAUUUUCUUCUUCAUCUUUUAGGUUAAGGGGUACAUGUGCGAUAAACAGUUAUUAUGAUUAAUAUAGGCUAAUUUAAUCUUUGCUUGUAUGGUCAAUGUUUUUAGCAUUUAUCCUAAGUUUGGAAGAAUAUUCUCCUAUGUUUUCCUUAAAGUGUUAAUAAUCUUAUGUCUAUAAUGCAUUGGAGUUAAAAAAAAACCUGUAUUAUUCUAAGAGAUAUCUAAUUAAAUAGCACAAUUAAAAUAAAUAAUCUUGUCCCUCCCUGCUCCCUGUAUUGCAAUGUUACCUUUGACAACAAAAGUCAGUUCUGGUGUGACUUUAUUUGGGGUCUGUUUGGAUCUUUCUAUAUUCCCCUGGUCCCUUUGUUUAUCCUACAUAUGUCUUCACUAAUGUAGCUUUAAAAGUCUUGAUCUCUGGUGAUGUAAGUCAUCUAACGUCCUUUGUAAAGACUGCCUUGGCUAUUUGUGGUCUCUUAUAGUCAUCAAUAAAUUUUAAAUUCAGCUUGUCAGCCUCCCAGGUAGCUGGGACUACAGGCGCACGCCAGCAUGCCUGGCUAAUUUUGUAUUUUUUCUUUUAUUAGAGAUGGGGUUUUGCCAUGUUGGCGGGGCUGGUCUUGAACUCCAGGCCUCAGAUGAUCCACCCACCUCGGCCUCCCAAAGUGCUGGGAUUACAGGCAUGAGCCACCACACCCAGCCCUAUUACCAACUUUUUUGCUUUUUCACUACUGCUGUGUAUAAUUUGUGUUUUCUCCUUAUUAUUCUUGCUAGAGACUUAACAAUUUUGUUCCUUUUCAAAGCCCCAAUCUGUGGUUUUGUUGACUUAUUUCUAUUGUAUUUUUAUUUACUAUUUCAUUGAUUUUUGGUCUUAAUGUUUCCCUCCAACUUUAUUUGUAUUUGAUUUGUGAUUAUUGGUUUUCAGCCUCUUUUCUAGUAAUUGCUUUUAAGUCUAUACAUUAUCUCCAAUCUUAGCCUUGGAUGAAGUCCUUAAAUAUUUCUAAUUUAUGUUUUCUUUUAUGUCUCUCAGGUCAUUGAGAAGUAUACUACAUAAUUUCUUUCUUUGAGAGAUGGUCUUACUCUGUUAUCCAGGCUGGAGUGCAGCGGCAUAAUCAUGGCCCACUGCAGCUUUGACCUCCCAAGCUCAAGCGAUCCGCCUGCCUCAGCCUCUCAAGUAGCAAGGACCACAGACAUGCACCACCAUGCCCAGCUGACUUUUUAAAAUUAUACUUUUGUAGAGACAGGGGUCUAUGUUGCCCAGGAUGGUCUUGAAUUCCUGGGCUCGAGCGAUCUUCCUGCCUCAGCCUCACAAAGUGCUGGGAUUACAGGUGUGAGCCACUAUGCCCAGACAACUACAUAAUUCCUAAGCAGUUAGAGAUUUCCUAGUAAUCUCUAUGGCUUUAUUGAUUUCUAGCUUAAUCCCACUGUUUUCAGAGAAUGCACUCAUUUUGAUUUCUACUCUUUGUAAUGUAUUAGGGCUUUAUGGUCCUUUAUGUGUUCAAUUUUGGUAAAUGGUUUAUACAGCAUAAAAUGAAAUUAUAUUUUGUCAUUGUUGGUUAGUGUUUUAUGUAUCCCAAUUAGAUCAAGUCUGUCACCUUUGCUAUGUUCUUUGUGAUAUUGUCUGUUCAUGCCAUCAGCUAAUGAGAGGUGUAUUAUGUCUUCCAGUAUGAUUAUAGAUGACUCUUUUCUCCUUUUAGUUCGGUAAACUUCCACUUGAUUAUAUUUUGAAUAUAAAAUUAGAAUUGCUACAUAUUCCUGUUGCCUUUUGGACUGAUCUCUGUAGAAUAACGGACAUCCAAAAAUGUCUAUAUUUGAAUCCGUAGAAUCUCAGGUUAUAUGGGAAAAGGAAAUUAAGAUAGCAGACAGAACUAGAUUGCUAAUCAGCUCACCUCAAAAUAGACUGAGUAUCCUGAGUUUCCAGGUGGGCCCAAUAUAAUUACAAGGGUCCUUCAAAGUGGAAAAAAGGAGGCAGAAGAGAGAACCAGAGAUCGAGCAGUGUGAAAAUAACUCUACCCAAUGUUGCUGGCUUUGAAGGUGGAGAAAGAGGGGCAUGAGCCAAGAAAUGCGGGCGGCCUCUAGAAGCUGGAAAGGGCAAGGUAACAGCUUGUCCCCUAGAGCCUACAGAAAAAUAUGCAGCCCUAUUGACAUAAGCCCAGUGAGACCCAUUUCAGAUUUGUGGACUGCAGAACUGUAAGAUAAUACAUCUGUGUUGUUUUAAGCCAUUAAGUUUGCAGUAAUUUGUUACAGAAGGAAACUAUAUGCAAUCUUUUUCAUUAAAAAUUACUUUCUAUCUCUAAUAAUGCUUCUUGCCUUGAGGUCUACUUUGCCUAAUACAAUCACCCUUCGAUAUUCACAGGGGAUAUACUUGGCUUCAAGACUGCCAAGUAUACAAAAUCUGUAGAUCAGAGUCCUUUAUAUAACAUAGUAUUUGCAAAUAACCUAUACACAUUCUCUCGUAUACUUUAGAUUUAAUACCUAAUACAAUGCAAUGUAUAAUUGUUAUGCUGUAUUUUUUUAGAAAAAUUUCAAAUAUUUUUGAGCCACAGUUGAUUGAAUCACAGAUGUAGAACCCACAGAUAUGGAGGGCCAACUCUUACUAUCAAAGGUGCACCAACUUUCUUUUGGUUAGUAUUUGCAAUGGUAUAUCUUUUUCCAACUUUUAAAUGUAAGAACACAGAAAUAUUAAAAGAGGAUCUUUUGUAUAUAGCAGUUAGGAUUUUAUUUUUCUUUCAACAUGUUAAAAAUGCCAUUUCACUGUCUGGCUUUACCACUACUUCUUUGAAGAUAAUGUCCCCCCGGGUCCUCCCUCUGUGCUUUUAAUAUAUUCUCUUUGUCUCUGGUUUUCAGUAGUUUUACUACUGUUGUCUGGGUGUGGUUUUCUUUGCAUUUAUCCUCUGUGGGGGUUUUCUGAGCUUUUUGAAUCUGUGGAUUGAUUUCUUUCAUCACUUUCAGAAAAUUCUGGGCUGGUACUUCUAUUUUUCCACUCUAUAUUCUCGCUCUUCCUUGGAUUCCAAUUAGAUAAAUGGUAGAUCGCUAUGCUGUGUACCACAUGUCUCCAACACAAUUGCCAGUUAAGUUCCACUGUUUCAUUUCUGUACUUCAGCUUAAUAUUUUAUAUUGACCUGUCUUCCAGGAGCAGUUUUACUAAUAUUCUACUUCUGGUUUAUAUUUAUAAGCAAACACCUUCCCCCACCCAACAACCUUGUUUAAUGGAGCGCUGACAUAGCAAAACUCCAGGAAAACGGAACUGUUUCUCAAAGGUUUUUGACUUGCUUUUUGGUCUCCUACCCUAGGCAGCUUAAAAGUUCACCAAAUGUUUUGAAGGGUAAACAGUGUGGUUUAGCCCUCUCAAGUCUCCAUUGUUAUCACCCCAGCCCUUUCAAAGUGCCCAAAUUCCACAGGUUGUUAGGUUAUUCAGCAGCAGGCCCCUCACCAGGCAAAGCUUGAAUCUUGCUGUGCCCUGUGGAAUCAGCAAACACCUGCCACCGACCCUGCAAAGAGCUGCUGCAGAUGACCUCAUUGCAGUACUCUCAAAUCUUAGCUCCACAUUCCUCAUUGAUUUAGGGGCUGAUGCCUCUCAAGGGAUAAAUGUGGGUAUUCACCUAUUAGUUAUUGACACAAUUCUGAGUUGGCCUCAAGGUACUUCAACCCAGGAACAGACAUUUUCAUACUUACUACCACCCCCUGACUUUUUGUCAUUUAUUUUUCAAGCAAACUCACUAAUCCUGUUAAAUUUCCCACAUUCUGGAACUGGCUGUUUCUUAGUGGGAUGUUUAACUUGUUCCAUUAAUUCUCACAUUUUAUGUAAAGUAGCAGAUCUAAACCUUUAAAUAUAUAUAUAUGUACAUGUAUAUAUGUAUAUAUUUAUAUACUAUAUAUAUGCAUAUACGUAUUA
rnacentral:lncRNA from 10 species